rnacentral:lncRNA from 1 species
GGCAGAUAGAUCUUGACCUAAUAAACAAUUUUAUCCCGUCAGAUUUCCUCAAAAUGCUUUGGUUUUUGAGUUAUAAGCCAAAAACUGCAUUUUACCCCUUUGUUCUAUUUUUAGCCGUGGCGGCCAUCUUGGUUGGUUGACCAGGUCACGCCACACAUUUUUUAAACUAGAUACCCCAAAGAUGAUUGUGGCCAAGUUUGGAUUAAUUUGGCCCAGUAGUUUCAGAGGAGAAGAUUUUUGUAAAAGAUUACUUUAAUUAACGAAAAAUGGUUAAAAAUUGAC